rnacentral:rRNA from 1 species
GACGAACGCUGGCGGCGUGCUUAACACAUGCAAGUCGAACGGAAAGGCCCUGCUUUUGUGGGGUGCUCGAGUGGCGAACGGGUGAGUAACACGUGAGUAACCUGCCCUUGACUUUGGGAUAACUUCAGGAAACUGGGGCUAAUACCGGAUAGGAGCUCCUGCUGCAUGGUGGGGGUUGGAACGUUUCGGCGGUUGGGGAUGGACUCGCGGCUUAUCAGCUUGUUGGUGGGGUAGUGGCUUACCAAGGCUUUGACGGGUAGCCGGCCUGGGAGGGUGACCGGCCACAUUGGGACUGAGAUACGGCCCAGACUCCUACGGGAGGCAGCAGUGGGGAAUAUUGCACAAUGGGCGGAAGCCUGAUGCAGCAACGCCGCGUGCGGGAUGACGGCCUUCGGGGUGUAAACCGCUUUCGCCUGUGACGAAGCGUGAGUGACGGUAAUGGGUAAAGAAGCACCGGCUAACUACGUG